rnacentral:snRNA from 1 species
CACUUCUCGGCCUUUUGACUAAGAUUGAGUGUAGUGUCUGUUCUUAUCAGU